UACGUAGGGUGCAAGCGUUAAUCGGAAUUACUGGGCGUAAAGCGUGCGCAGGCGGUGAUGUAAGACAGUUGUGAAAUCCCCGGGCUCAACCUGGGAACUGCAUCUGUGACUGCAUCGCUGGAGUACGGUAGAGGGGGAUGGAAUUCCGCGUGUAGCAGUGAAAUGCGUAGAUAUGCGGAGGAACACUGAUGGCGAAGGCAAUCCCCUGGACCUGUACUGACGCUCAUGCACGAAAGCGUGGGGAGCAAACAGG
rnacentral:rRNA from 1 species